AUAGCGUAUAUUAAAGUUGUUGCAGUUAAAAAGCUCGUAGUUGGAUUUCGGGGCGGCCUCGGCGGUCCGCCUUCCGGUGUGCACUGCCGCGGGCGUCCUUGCUGCCGGACACGGGCUCCUGGGCUUCACUGUCUGGGACUCGGGGUCGGCGAGGUUACUUUGAGUAAAUUAGAGUGUUCAAAGCAGGCCUACGCUCUGAAUACAUUAGCAUGGAAUAACACGAUAGGACUCUGGCCUAUCUGGUUGGUCUGUGGGACCGGAGUAAUGAUUAAGAGGGACAGUCGGGGGCAUUCGUAUUUCAUUGUCAGAGGUGAAAUUCUUGGAUUUAUGAAAGACGAACUUCUG
rnacentral:rRNA from 1 species